rnacentral:rRNA from 1 species
UACGUAGGGUGCGAGCGUUAAUCGGAAUUACUGGGCGUAAAGCGUGCGCAGGCGGUUUUGUAAGCCAGAUGUUAAAUCCCCGGGCUUAACCUGGGAAUGGCAUUUGGGACUGCAAGGCUCGAGUGCGGCAGAGGAGACUGGAAUUCCUGGUGUAGCAGUGAAAUGCGUAGAUAUCAGGAGGAACACCGAUGGCGAAGGCAGGUCUCUGGGCUGACACUGACGCUCAUGCACGAAAGCGUGGGGAGCAAACAGG